GGCCUCUUAUUUUAGUAAUUUCUGCUUUGAAAGCAGGAUGAGGGCAAUUUUGUCCAGGGGCUU
rnacentral:tRNA from 1 species